AGUAGAAAUUGAAAUAUCUGGUUUUUUCCCUUAAUUCUCUAUAGCCCUCUGAGAUAGCCUAUUAUAGCCCUUUCUCCCAUCAACAAAUUCUUUCUACGUCAGUUUCUUUCCUAUGUCAGUUUGCUCUUGUCUUGUGUUUAGGCAUAAGAAGAAGUUACCAGUUUCUAGCAACCUCCCCAAACACACAGGAUCUGCAAGUUGGCUAGUUACAAUGGGAGAUCUUCAAAAAAUUCUUGAUAGAGGAGAAUAUCUUCCCUUGAGAUCAGUUCCAGUAUUUGAGAGCAACUUUAUUCAGGUCAAUAGAAGAAGUGAAGCAGUUUACCUUCAUAAUCGGCCCAACUAUGUGGUAAUGGGUGUCUGUGCCUCCAGCCCAAAUCUGUCAUUGCCAAAUGUGAUGCUGCUCGCACAUGCAGUUCCUGUAACCUCCCAGGAAAGCAUUUCAACGUGCUCAUCGUGUUCACUGCCUUCAUAUUCAGAGGAUGAGCUAGUACUCACCAGGUUCCUACCCUUGAAAUAUGUGAAGAUUUCUGUUCACUCUGUUAAGAGGAAACGCAUCAAAUUAAAACUGGUGAGCGGUCGUGCCUACUACUUAGAACUCUAUGGUGUACCACAGAAACAGGCGUUCCUUUUCUCUCAAUGGGUGCGACUGAUCAACCUACUGAAAACUAAGACUUCUGACUCCGCUGUUCCAUUUAGAAAUUUUGACAUGCUCGAAGAACAGAAAGCUACUGGCGACACACUGUGGAAAAGAAAUGAUCAAGUACAGCCUAUCUGGGACCAAGAGAAGAGGCAUGAGCCAGAGAAAGUACAAAUCCUAAAACAAGUAUCUUCCAAGCGAGUCACCAUUUCUGACAUCAAGGGUCCUACUGAACAAGUCGGAAAGAGCAGAAGCCAAGGGGCAGUUUCUUCCUACAGCUUCAUUACGGAAUCCAGUGUGAGCUCAAAGAAACAAAACAAGCAGCCCCAAGAAUUAAGGAGGAAGAGUGUCAUCAAGAAAAAAUCAUGGGAACAAGAACCUUUUUCUCAUUCAGAAAAAAGAUUACAGACUUCAGGAAUCCUCAAGAAUGUCAAGUAAGCCUGAUGUCAUUUAUGACAAGCAACAAUGAAAAUAUAUACUCAGAUAAACUAAUGAAAAGAAACUGAAGAUACCAAGUGAAAUGAGAAAAUAGAUGGAUAGAAAUAUAGAGCCUGAAGAGCUGUUCAGUUCCAAUAUUACAACAUUAAACAUAAUUGAAACCAUGAUUAUAAAUAUGACUUGUUCUGAAAGUGGAAGAAAACAUCUGAAAGGAUUUGUCUAGUAAUGCUUAUUAUUGCCAAGGAUAUAAGAAAUCAUUUGUCUUCAGCAGACUUUCUUUAAAUACUGGUGCCUCAAUAAUUUUCUCUUUUGUACAUUACUACUAAUUUAUAAUUACAGACAGAAGUGGUGUGCAGUGCAUUUGCCCGUCUUUUUAUGGGUCAUUUCAGUUCAACUACCAGGAUGGAUGUUGACAGGAUAUUGGGAUCUGUAAAGGCUACCACAUUUUCUAUGGACCCCUGUCCAUUCUGGUUAGUGAAAUCAUGGUAGGAUCUCAGUAAUGAGUUUCUAAUGUCCUUCAUAAAAAAACAAACACUGAGUCAGUCUCUUGCAGAGGAGGUUAUCUGAACAUUACUUUAAAACCCAUUGCUAGAAAAGAAUGAUGUGGCCAGUGAUUAUCUGGUCUUCAGUAUGCACUUUCUGGGUAAGAUUAUUGAGAGCAAUUGCUGAAUGACUCCAGUUCCACCUGGAUGACUCCUCUGGUCUGAACCCUUUUCAGUCUGGUUUCAGGUCAGGCUAUAGGAUGAAGAGACAUUAGUAGCUUUAGUUGAUAAUCUUCAUUUGAAUGCAGACAAGGCCUAUGCCUUUUUGUUGCUCUUACAGGAUUUAUCAGCAGGCUUUUGAUACUGUGGAUUAUCCAUAUCAUCUUGUUGAUAAGUCUGGAGGUAGACUGGCCUUUUCUGUCAACUGUCGGGACCUGCACAGCUUCCUAUGUUCUGGGGACCCGGAUUUAUUUUAAAUUGUAAACCUUCCUCUCAGUUUACCAGAUGUUCUUAAGGCAGUGAGAAUCAAGACUUCGGGCUCACUGCCAUGAGAGGUAGAACUAAACCACACUGCUAACGUGCCCCUCAAACCAUCUCCUCUUUUGUUGAAGGAGACUAAAAACAAUCAUUGCCCUCUCCAACAAGCAGAUCUGCACUCUCUCUUCCUGCUACGUUUCCCUCCAGCAUUCCAUCUGCUCUCUGAAAGAUGAUUGGAUGAUGGAGCAGCACUCCCAUAGGCUCAGUUAGAUUAAAAGGCUUUUUAAUAGAUAUUAUGAUUAUGUUAUCUCACCUGGGUUUCGGGUUUUGCUGGUUUUAUCAUUUACAUUUUGUAUUUUAUUUUUCCCUGCUUUUUUCUUGUGGCUUUAUGGGUUUUAUUAGUGAUGGUACGUCUUACUGUAUUUGACAUUAUCUGGUUUUCAUUCUUUUUAAUAGUAAGUCACUCAGAGAGCCUUCUAAGCGCAGAAUUACACAAUAUACGUGUUCUUUAAAAUAAUUAAUAAUAAAUUAUGACUUUUGUUAUUCCUGGCAUUAAGAUAAAAUUGGCAAAAGUGAAUUAUGAAUCUCUGGAGUC